rnacentral:antisense_RNA from 1 species
CAGUGUUUGUCCAUUUCACAAUGUUAGGAUACAGCAAGAAGUGCCAUCUUGGAAGCAGAGAGCAAACCCUCAUCAGACAUUAAAUCUGACAGCACCUUGAUCUUGGACUUCCCAGCCUCUAGAACUUGUAUGCAACGGUAUGAGGAACUGUUCCACAUUAAAGGAGACUAAGAAGACAUAACAACUCAAUGCAAUGUGUGAUUCUGGACUGGAUCUUGCAUUGGAGGAGAAAAUGCUAUAAAAGGUUUACCGCCAUAUUUUGAAGAGAUAGACAGCAUUUCCAGCUUCCACUCCUCUCAUUUUAAUGGGCAACAAGAAAAGGAACUACCAGGAGUAAGGUUCAAAUUUUGAUACACAGAAGAGGUGUAUCCAAAGGUUUAAUGAAAAUUGAAGGGUCAGAAGUACAUUCAUGUCCAGGGAUCACCAAUGAGGAAAUGUGCAGCAGAGCUGAUAAUAUUGUGUAGGAGAACAGACAAGCAACUCUUCUACUGAUGACCAAGGUGCUUCCCAACCACUGCCACUGUCUGCAUUCGAGUUUCGUUUUACCUCUGGACAUUUGCUUUGGCUGCUGCCACUUGGAAUGACUGCCACAGCUAAAUCGAGUGAUAUUUUUAACCCUAUGUGUUCAUGGAGGCACUCCAGCUACAAACCAAAGGAAAUCCCAAUUUAGAUUACUUGGAAUCAGUACUAUAAAAUUAUGCAGUUUGUGAAUAUAUUCUUGGUGUUUCACAGUUGACAACACUAUAUUCCCUUGAGUACCAAACUCACAGAAACCCCAUGGAAUGAUCUCUCUCUCCAAGUACAGUUUUUCUAGAAUCAGUAUGAGGUGUGAGACUAAUCAGACAAGGGCUUUAGCAAAUGUGCAUUUUUAAAAUAAACAGCCUAGAAAAAUUAUGGCAGUUCCUUUAUGGCCCAGAAUAACAUGUUUUCACUUAUCAGCUGCUUAACAGAGAAAUGAAUUGAUACAAAAA